UCACGUCGCUGUGACUCGUCCCCUCUAGGUCCAUUUUUUAGAGAUAAUUGGCUCUUUAUACAAGGCAAGGUGAUUAGACUUGACAUUUUGGGUGGAGUUUAAUGUUUUUAAAUACAGAGAGAGAAGGAACACACUCAGAACCACAUGAGUGAGCAGGAGGUCUGAAAAUUGUAGUUAAUUAUCCAGAGUGUGUGAAGGUGUGAAGAUGAUCUCAAAUCACUCGCUUUUAAACGAGUGUAAUGGUGCUUUGACCUGAAUUCGCCUGAGGAAGUGUUUGUAGGCUAUUAACAUAACAACAGAGCUACUCAGGAUUCCCUCGUUUCACUUUUACCUUGUACCUCACCGGCGAAAUUAAUUAAUGAGGUAAGACUACAAACAUGGCUGACAGAACCACAGACUACACAGAGCCUACAGACAUGGCAUCCAUGGACUACAACAUCUGAACUGACCUGAACUCACACUUCACCAUGCUGUAAUUCCACACACCUGAACUGCAUCACUCUCCUCUCACACUGCCACUUUAAACAGCUUCACUUCCUCAAGCUGACACAACUGACCGUGUAGAAACAUACAUGAUUUAGCCCACAAACUCAAUAAAACAUUUUUAUGAAGUUAA